AAUAGAUACCCGGGUAGUCCACGCCGUAAACGAUGAGUGCUAAGUGUUAGAGGGUUUCCGCCCUUUAGUGCUGCAGCUAACGCAUUAAGCACUCCGCCUGGGGAGUACGGUCGCAAGACUGAAACUCAAAGGAAUUGACGGGGGCCCGCACAAGCGGUGGAGCAUGUGGUUUAAUUCGAAGCAACGCGAAGAACCUUACCAGGUCUUGACAUCCCACUGACCGGUAUAGAGAUAUACCUUUCCCUUCGGGGACAGUGGUGACAGGUGAUGCAUGGUUGUCGUCAGCUCGUGUCGUGAGAUGUUGGGUUAAGUCCCGCAACGAGCGCAACCCUUGAUCUUAGUUGCCAGCAUUUAGUUGGGCACUCUAAGGUGACUGCCGGUGACAAACCGGAGGAAGGUGGGGAUGACGUCAAAUCAUCAUGCCCCUUAUGACCUGGGCUACACACGUGCUACAAUGGAUGGUACAAAGGGCUGCAAGACUGCGAAGUCAAGCCAAUCCCAUAAAAACCAUUCUCAGUUCGGAUUGCAGGC
rnacentral:rRNA from 1 species